rnacentral:tRNA from 1 species
GUCGAUGAAGAACACCAGCCUUCCAAGCUGGAUACGUGGGUUCGAUUCCCAUCACCCGCU